CACCACUUCACACGCUGACAAUGCUCAAUAUUUUGCACACGACCCUCGUCCCUCAAGCGAAUUGGCGGAAGACACAGCCUCCCAGUCGCUCUCACUGGAUCUAAGCUAGACUUGAUUAUCCAGCAGAAUCAUGGAAAAAAACAAAGGGUAUAGCAUUGCUAUAGUCUCAACACUCAUGGUCUGGACUGUAGUGGAAUACGUGGCUUCAAACUAUUAUUCUCAAUUGGACACGAAUGAUUUCAUUGUACCAGCAAAAA